GUCCGACAGGAUGGAGAGGAAGGCGGCUUGUUUGGCCUGCUGUCUGAAGCAGAAGUACGAGUCUCUCCUGUAGGGCAGACGCAGGAAUAAAAGACACAGAAUCAUGUUUAAGCCGCUUUAUCUCCUGUCUGACUCUUCCCUUUAAAAGUCAUCUUCUACUUGAGCGAACCGGGCCACGGAAAACUGCUUCCUGUAGUAUGGACUGAACUCCUUCAGCUUGGCCUCAGCCUGGCC